GAUGAACGCUAGCGGCAGGCCUAAUACAUGCAAGUCGAACGGGAUCUGAGGGUAGCUUGCUACCCGAUUUGAGAGUGGCGCACGGGUGCGUAACGCGUGAGCAACCUACCCAUAUCAGGGGGAUAGCCCGAAGAAAUUCGGAUUAACACCGCAUAACAAUACGUUAACACAUGUUAAUGUAUUUAAAUAUUUAUAGGAUAUGGAUGGGCUCGCGUGACAUUAGCUAGUUGGUAAGGUAACGGCUUACCAAGGCGACGAUGUCUAGGGGCUCUGAGAGGAGAAUCCCCCACACUGGUACCGAGACACGGACCAGACUCCUACGGGAGGCAGCAGUAAGGAAUAUUGGUCAAUGGACGCAAGCCUGAACCAGCCAUGCCGCGUGCAGGAUGACUGCCCUAUGGGUUGUAAACUGCUUUUGUUAGGGAAUAAACCUACUUAUGUAUAAGUAGCUGAAUGUACCUAAAGAAUAAGGAUCAGCUAACUCCGUGCCAGCCGCCGCGGUAA
rnacentral:rRNA from 1 species